rnacentral:rRNA from 1 species
AGGACCGCCGUAAUGAUUAAUAGGGACAGUCGGGGGCAUCAGUAUUCAAUUGUCAGAGGUGAAAUUCUUGGAUUUAUUGAAGACUAACUACUGCGAAAGCAUUUGCCAAGGAUGUUUUCAUUAAUCAGGAACGAAAGUUAGGGGAUCGAAGACGAUCAGAUACCGUCGUAGUCUUAACCAUAAACUAUGCCGACUAGGGAUCGGACAAUGUUAUUUUUUGACGCGUUCGGCACCUUACGAGAAAUCAAAGUGCUUGGGCUCCAGGGGGAGUAUGGUCGCAAGGCUGAAACUUAAAGAAAUUGACGGAAGGGCACCACCAGGGGUGGAGCCUGCGGCUUAAUUUGACUCAACACGGGGAAACUCACCAGGUCCAGACACAAUGAGGAUUGACAGAUUGAGAGCUCUUUCUUGAUUUCGUGGGUGGUGGUGCAUGGCCGUUCUUAGUUGGUGGAGUGAUUUGUCUGCUUAAUUGCGAUAACGAACGAGACCUUAACCUGCUAAAUAGACCGUAUUGCUUUGGCAGUACGCCGUCUUCUUAGAGGGACUAUCGGCUCAAGCCGAUGGAAGUUUGAGGCAAUAACAGGUCUGUGAUGCCCUUAGAUGCUCUGGGCCGCACGCGCGCUACACUGACGGAGCCAGCGAGUACUCCCUUGGCCGGAAGGCCCGGGUAAUCUUGUUAAACUCCGUCGUGCUGGGGAUAGAGCAUUGC